GUGUUCGUCUCUUCACAAAAUCAAUAACUAAUGUUAUUUAGGAUUUCCUAUGUGCUGGGUAUUAACCAACUAUUUUACAUGUAUUAUCUCAUUUAAUCCUUUUAACACCUCUAGGCUAUCAGUAUAAUUAGUCCCACUUACAGAUGAAGAAACUGGAGCCCAGAAAGGUUGUGACUUGUGUAAAGACACACAGUAAGUUCCAGAGCCAGAGUUCCAACCCAGUCUGCAUCAUUGCAUUCCUACAAAAUUCACACUGAUGAGUAGGUAGAAACCACUUCAGCAAAAGAUGUCUGAACAGGAAUGGUUAGUGCAGCAUCUUUUAUAAGGGUUUAACAUUCAAAAAAGCUUAUCUGUCUAUCAAUAAGGGACUGGUUAAACUGAUGAAGUUAGUCUAUUCACUGGACUAGUUUUGCAUCUGUUAGGAGUUAUUUUCAGAGAUGAACAGACAGUGUGAUCCAAUUUUAGUAAACACACCACAUUUACCAGUAUUCAUAUACAUUAAAAAGUCUGGAAAAUUAUACAGCAAAAAUACUAACAAUGAUCAUUGUGAAGUGGUAGGAUUCUAGGUAAUUUAAAAUAUCAUCUUGUCCCAAUUUUUCCUACAAUAAUCAUGUAAUAAAGAAUAGAAUACGCUGGGCGCGGUGGCUCAUGCAUGUAAUCCCAGCACUUUGGGAGGCCCAGGCGGGUGGAUCACGAGGUCAAGAUAUUGACACCAUCCUGAUCAACAUGGUGAAACCCCAUCUCUACUAAAAACACAAAAAAUUAGCUGGCCAUGGUGGCGCAUGCCUGUAAUCCCAGCUACUCAGGAGGCUGAGGCAGGAGAAUUGCCUGAACCCAGGAGGCAGAGGUUGCGGUGAGCCGAGAUCGCGACAUUGCACUCCAGCCUGGGUAACAGGAGCGAAAUUCCGUCUCAAAAAAAAAAAAAAAGAAUAGAAUAAAACCUUUAAAACGCACACCACUGUCCUUUCAUUGAGAAAUGCUGCUGCUCUUUUGAGUUGCAGACUGGAAAUCAGCCCUGACUGUACUCAAGUGGUCUGUGAUCUUGGACAAGUCACUUACCCUCUGUGGGUCUCCCGUUUUGUAUAUAUAAUAAGAAGGCGAUUUAAUUUUGCAGGUUCCUUUGUGUUCUAAUAUUCUUUAACUUAAUGAAUCUCAUUCUUAGCAAAGUUCUUUUGAAAAAAGUACAAAUAGUGCGUAGAGGUUUAAAUGUUGAUAAAUGAUUUCUUCACACUUGAUCUGUUUUCUUCAGCAUAUGAAGUUAUUAUUCCCAUUAUCCCUUUCCCAUGAGUCCUUUAAGAAGGAAAAGUUGGCUUUUUGCUCUCACUGGGGAUGGCGGAGGGAGGUACCCUUCUGAGAGGAAGAGGGAUGCCUGAAACCUGGAUUUUCAUUUUCAAGAUGGAAAGUCCAUCAGACUCAGCUGUGGUUUUACCUAGCACUACUCAGGCCUCUGCGAAUCCAUCAUCUCCCUAUACAAACAGUUCAUGAAAACAACCUAUGAGUGCAACGCUUAGAGAAAGAUUAAGGAAAACAAGAUCAUUAUUUAAUUCCCGUUAUAAUGUGGUGAAACGUCUUAAGCUUACAGUAGAGAAUGAAGAAAACAAUCAGACCUUUUCAGAGAAACCAGCAUCUUCCAUAGAGAAAAACUUAGGAAUUUCAAGAAAGUUUUAAACACAUAGACAGUGGAUUUGAAGAAAAUACAAAUUUGAAAAAUACUUUGAAGAAUCUCAAUGUCUGUGAAUCUCAGUCACUUGAUUCUGGGUCAUACAGUGGUUUCCAGAAUUAGUUUGUGAAUGAGAAUCUUCCUAAACAAAGAUUAAAUGACGAAAAAGCCAAAUGGGCUGGGCGAGCCAAAUUGGUGAAGCAGGUUCAGGAGAAAAAAGACGUUCUUCAAAGGCUAAAACUAGUCAAAAUGUAUAGAUCAAAGAAUGAUCUGUCUUAGUUACAGUUGUUAAUAAAGAAGUGGAGAAGCUGCAUCCAGCUGUUGCUUUAUAAGCUGCAAUCAGCUGUGUCUGAAGAGAACAAGAAACUAAGCCUUACUCAAUUGAUAGACUACUAUGGGUUAGAUGAUAAAUUGCUACACUAUAACAGAAGUGAAGAAGAAUUUAUAGGUGUUUAAUUCCUGAUUUUUUGCUCCAGAAUAUAUUUGAAAAUGACAACUUAAUUAAAAGAUACUUACGCAUUUUAUUUUAUUUUAUUUUAUUUUAUUUUAUUGAGACGGAGUUUCGAUGUUGUUACCCAGACUGGAGUGCAAUGGCACGAUCUCAGCUCACCACAACCUCCGCCUCCUGGGUUCAAGCAAUUCUCCUGCCUCAGCCUCCCGAGUAGCUGGGACUACAGGCGCGCACCACCAUGCCCAGCUAAUUUUUGUAUUUUUAGUAGAGACGGGGUUUCACCUUGUUGACCAGGAUGGUCUCGAUCUCUGAACCCCAUGAGCCACCCGCCUCGGCCUCCCAAAGUACUGGGAGUAUAGGCAUGAGCCACCGCACCCAGCCUAUUUUUUAUUUUUGUUUUUAAAUGGAAUGAUGGAGUCUCACACUGUCACCCGGGCUGGAGUGCAGUGGCACAAUCUCAGCUCACUGCAAUCUCUGUGUCCCAUGUUCAAGCAAUUCUCCUUGCCUCAGCUCCCCAAGUAGCUGGGAUUACAGGCACCAGACACCAUACCCGUCUAAAUUUUUUUUGUAUUUUUGGUAGAGAUGGGGUUUCACUAUGUUGGCCAGGCUGGUCUUGAACUCGUGACCUCAUGAUCUGCCCGCCUCGACCUCCCAAAGUGCUGGGAUUACAGGUGUGAGCCACCGCUUGGGGCCCUAGAUACUUACAUAUUUUAAAGGGAAGAUAGAAACCAUUAGGGCUCAGAGGAAGGUAUCCGGAUGAACAUCAAUUGAGGACACGCUAAUAUAUAAAUUAUAAACUAAGUUGUAAAAAGAAAAUUAGUAUUUUGGAUAGAUUUGCCAAAGAAAACUUGACAUUUAAAUCAAGUUUAAAAAGUCAUUUGGGCAGUUCUGUAAACUAGUUUUAAUACAUUUGUUCUUUUUUGUGACAAAAAGUUUUAAUUAAAAUGUUAAAAAUUGUCCAAUCUAGUGAAUGCCUAAACCUAAAGUUAAAAAAUUUCUGCCUCCUAAGUUUAUGCGCCUUGUUUCCAUCCAUUUACCACAUAUUUCCAUCUUAUAAUCUAGCAGGUAAUUAAACUUAUAUGUCCAAAAC